rnacentral:rRNA from 1 species
ACUGUGGGGACACAGGCAGAGAGCGUGAGCCGGGAAUGGAAAGACCGGUACAAGCGAGGUAGGAGAAGAGUUGGCAAAUCCGCUCUUUAAUCUGAAGACGUGAUGUGGACUGAAAGUAAGUAGGGAAGCACGUGAGCUGACUGUCAAGAAAAGCCGCUAUUGUUUGCAGGAUACCCGUACCGUAAACCGACACAGGUGGAUGAGGAGAGAAUCCUAAGGCCGACGGGAGAAGCAUUGUUAAGGAACUCGGCAAAAUGACUCCGUAACUUCGGGAGAAGGAGUGCCAGUAAGAUGGCCGCAGAGAAUUGGCCCAAGCAACUGUUUAGCAAAAACACAGGUCUAUGCAAAACCGAAAGGUGAGGUAUAUGGGCUGACGCCUGCCCGGUGCUGGAAGGUUAAGGGGAGAGGUUAGCGCAAGCGAAGCUUUGAACUUAAGCCCCAGUAAACGGCGGCCGUAACAAUAACGGUCUUAAGGUAGCGAAAUUCCUUGUCGGGUAAGUUCCGACCCGCACGAAAGGCGUAAUGAUUUGGGCACUGUCUCAACAAUGCACCCGGUGAAAUUGAAAUACCAGUGAAGAUGCUGGUUACCUGCGCCAGGACGGAAAGACCCCAUGGAGCUUUACUCCUGCUUGAUACUGGGAUUCGGUAUUGCAUGUACAGGAUAGGUGGGAGGCUAGGAAAUGGUAACGCCAGUUGCCAUGGAGCCAAUGUUGGGAUACCACCCUUGCAGUACUGGGUUUCUAACCAGCAGCCGUGAUCCGGCUGGGGGACAAUGUCAGGUGGGGAGUUUGACUGGGGCGGUCGCCUCCGAAAGGGUAUCGGAGGCGCUCAAAGGUUCCCUCAGAAUGGUUGGAAACCAUUCGAAGAGUGCAAAGGCAGAAGGGAGCUUGACUGCGACACCGACGGGUGGAGCAGGUACGAAAGUAGGACUUAGUGAUCCGGUGGUAUAAAGUGGGAUUGCCAUCGCUCAACGGAUAAAAGCUACCCUGGGGAUAACAGGCUUAUCACUCCCAAGAGUUCACAUCGACGGAGUGGUUUGGCACCUCGAUGUCGGCUCAUCGCAUCCUGGGGCUGAAGUAGGUCCCAAGGGUUGGGCUGUUCGCCCAUUAAAGCGGUACGCGAGCUGGGUUCAGAACGUCGUGAGACAGUUCGGUCCCUAUCCGGCGUGGGCGUAGAUAUUUGAGAGGAGCUGUCCUUAGUACGAGAGGACCGGGAUGGACUGGCCGCUGGUGUAUCUGUUGUCUUACCAAAGGCAUAGCAGAGUAGCCAAGCCGGGAAGGGAUAAACGCUGAAGGCAUCUAAGCGUGAAGCCCCCCUCAAGAUGAGAUAUCUCAUAACGUCAAGUUAGUAAGACCCCUUGAAGACGACGAGGUAGAUAGGGCAGAGGUGGAAGUGUGGUAACACAUGGAGCUGACUGUUACUAAUAGGUCGAGGGCAUAACCAA